rnacentral:lncRNA from 7 species
AGAUGGCGGCCGCCUCCCGAGGUGGAGAGAAGGCAGAUUUCUGCUCCCAGAGGUGGGAAAUGUCGCUCAGGACGCAAUGCGGCGUUAUAUGAUAAACCACAUAUGAUACACCUGAUGGGAUUCAUCAGACUUACUUGAGCUUGUCCAAAAAUGAAACAUCUGGUUGAAGAUAUUUUUUCAGCUUAUUCAGGGCUGAAAUGAAUCAUUGUCAAGAGGUACAUGCACCUCCAGCAGGUGAUUCAUCCCUUGCCAGGGUGCUGAGACUCUCUUGAGGAUAGUGUGCUGAUUGACCGCAAAGUCUGUAAAGGCAGGUACAAUAGAGACAAAGUUAAAUAACUACAGAGUAUUUGAAAUGAAGCACAAAAUCCUGGCUGAACUAGAAAAGCUAUUACUUUAUUUGGCACAUUGACAAAAUCAAUCCUUGAUGAAGCCUAUGAACUGACACCUGAGUAAAUCAACCUCAGGUGUUCUUGGAAACAUUAUUUUGUAGAGGAGGAAAGCACCUCUUUGUUUUCUGCUUUGUAUUUCCAAUCCUGAUCUUCUGCCAGAGAAAGCACUCCUACCAGAAAUGCUGAUUCAUGAUGUUGAGAGAAGAUAGAAAUGACACAACUGAGGGGAAGAGGGAGAAGGAGUUCAGCUACACGUGUUGCUCCCCAGCCUCUAUCUCUGUCUGUUCAGCCUGUUCUCUGCUGCAUUCAGUAUCAGUAGGAUACAAGAGUGGCCAGAUGCUGGCCAAUGAGACUGUCUACAGAAAAGAUAAGUAGAUUAUACAUGAACCUACCAGUAUAUUUAUGACAGCUGUGUUACAUAUAGAUCUUUUGGAGACUAAAUUAUUACUACAGCUCUAGGGAUCAGUCACUCAGAAAAGGGACACUGCUGUUGCAGAAUGCUGUAGCUUUUGUAACAGGCUAUCAUUUGUCCCUUUAUAUUGAAACCCAUUUUUAGCCCACUUUAGAGUAGGAAAGCAGCUGUGGCAUUUGUGUGUUUUUUAUUGGCAGGCAGUUACUUCUUAAUGCUGAUGAGGUUAGAGGUUAAAAGCCAAAUAUCUGUUCAAUUCUAGCCAUCUAUUACAAAGCAGAAUUUAUAUACUGUGAAAUUUGGGUUGGCAGAAA